UUCAUCCUUAUCUCCAGCCGAGUCUCCACCGCUUCUCCCCGGUGCCCUUCCUCCAUUUAUCCUCCCAGCGCAGCUCCCUCACGCUCCAUUUUCUCUGGCCGCUGCUCAGGCCGGCGUUCUCUGCUCGUCGUGGAGCUUCUCUCCCCUGCUGGCAGCCGAAACUCUCUCUCCCUCGAUAUGGAGCUUUCACGGCGCUCCAUUUUUCCCCCAGCGCGUGCUCUUCUCCCUCUGCCCUCUCACUGCCGCGCGCGUCCUCCCAUGGCCGCGGCACCCCUGCUCGGAGUUCCCUGGUGCCGCGCCCUGAACUCCCCGCGCCCGGCUCCCAACACGUCUUCUUUCCCCCAAGCGCCCUGCUCUGCUCGCCCAUCCUUCCCUCCCUGCUCGGAUUUCUUCCAUGGCCGGCACGCAGCUUCGAGUUCGCCGAGUUCUCUCUCUCCCAUGGUGUGCUCUGUUCUCUCCUGCUCCCCUGGUCGCCGUGCCCCUGCCCAGCCUCCAUCUUUCCCCAGCCGCCCUUCCCUCUGCCAGCUCGGCCGACCGUCCCGAACUCGCAUCCAUGGCGCCUGGCCGGAGCUCCUCCUCUCCCUCGAUCCCAUGGUGCUCGGCGUCCAUCUCCCCGUUCCUGUGCCGCGCCCCUGCUUCCCAGCUUGAGCUCGCCCACCUCGUCCAUGGCCGUCGUGCCGAGUUCACCCUGCGCGUAGCCGGUGUUUCUCCGAUGGCGCGCCCUCCCUGCUCGUUCUUCAGCUCGGUGCUCCUCACGCUCGGAUCCAUGCCGCACGGAGCUCCGUGGUGCUCGCCCCUGUGCCGUCGCUCAGCUCCCUGGCAUCUUCCUCCCUGCGUGCGUCUCCAUCUUCCAGUCGAGCUCUGUGCUCACGCGCAGCUCGCUCUUUCUUUGUUUGCCGCCCGCACGAAUUUUCUCUGCUCGCCACGGAGUGUCGAGCUCCCGCGCCGUCGAAUCGCCUGCUUGCUGUCUGCGCCGCCUAAGUCCCCUCGCCGUGCGCUCUGGGGUCGGCUGCCGCCGAUUCCGCCAUUGAACUUUCAAGCUCGCCAAUGCUUCAGCUCGUUGUUGUCGCCAAGUCCGAAUAUCACAGCUCGUUCUUGUGGCCGUGAGUUCUUUCCUGUGCGCACGCGAGCUCCUCUGUUUGGCCCGUCAUCGUUCUCCAGCUCCUUACCGCACUCGACUGUUUGUCGUCGUCGCUCGGUCGCGCAACAGGCUGACUGCAUGUCGUGUGUCGCACGUCCUAGGUCCUCGUCGUCGCGUCGUUCGCUUUCACACUGUGUGCGACAGCAUCGUCGUUUUCCCUAUCCAGAGCUCGCGCUAACCUGCUCGACCACACCUCGCCAGCUCGCUCUAGACACGAUCUCGUCGUCGUUCCGUGCGUCAUCAAAAAAUUCCAAGCGUCGGGUGAAGACGAAGCUAGCAGCACGAUAUUCCCCAAGCGCUCGAUAAAUUGCCAGGAUCGGAAAAUCAUUACCAAUCCCGCGGAUUCGAGUCAGCUGUUGAAACAGUACGUUAAUUAAUCACGUGAAGCGGAAGACGAGCCAAGUCGACCUCAAGCGCGGGCUAAUCCGCAGGAUGAUGCUGAUGGACGAACCUGAAGAUGGGAUGAUCUGAUCAAGUGCCAG
rnacentral:misc_RNA from 1 species